UACGAAGGGGGCUAGCGUUGUUCGGAAUUACUGGGCGUAAAGCGCGCGUAGGCGGUGAUCUUUGUCAGAGGUGAAAGCCCGGGGCUCAACCCCGGAACUGCCUUUAAGACUGCAUCGCUUGAAUCCGGGAGAGGUGAGUGGAAUUCCGAGUGUAGAGGUGAAAUUCGUAGAUAUUCGGAAGAACACCAGUGGCGAAGGCGGCUCACUGGACCGGCAUUGACGCUGAUGUGCGAAAGCGUGGGGAGCAAACAGG
rnacentral:rRNA from 1 species